AAUACCGGCCAAUUUAAAAUCCACAGGUUUUGACAACUCAUUGUGAAAACCUUCGGUUUGAUGAACGUAAGUCCCUGGGAGCUUUUAGCUUCCAUAAAGUACUGAGAAAAUACAUAUUUAACUUUCAAAAUAUCUUAAAAAAGCCUUAAUAAAAACUUAAAAAACGUUAUACCCGGACCGAAAAACAAUUUAUAAAAUAGUUUUAGCCUCCGGUUUAAAGCCGAUAUUGACUUUACAGUGUAAACAGAUAUUGGGUUUCCAUUAUAGUAUUUCGCAAUAUUGCAUCAGCCGGUUACGACUAGUUUUAUCAAUACACUAUAACAUUGUUUACUGUUUUAAGUAUUAAACGGAAAAAGUGGAAUUUAAACAACUGAAAUGUAUUCAAGAAUUCUACAAAGAUAUUAUUAGCCAGACGAAUUACAACGUGAAAAAUCCAAGACUUUAUAAAGACAACGAACGUUUAACACAAAAUAUAUCAUCGGAAGACUUCAAGAAAAGAAUGUUAACCGUAGCCUGGUUGAAUAUCAUAAUACUUUCACGUUGUGAGAAUCACUCAACCGUAGGAGUAUGCCAUACUCAUACGCAUGAUUGAAUAUCAUAAUACUUUCAUGUUGUGAGAAUUACUCAACCAUAGAAUUAUACCAUAAUCAUACGCAUGGCUUAAUGUUAUGAUAUUUUGAUGUUGUUGAAAUCACUCAACCGUAGGAGUAUGCCAUACUCAUACGCAUGGUUGAAUAUACGCUUUUGGGAGUAGUAUGGAAUAUAACGUUUAUGGGUGCAUUUUUGAUAGUAGCAAAGAAUAUUGUGUUUUUGAUACAUUUUAUCCCUUUUUAUUUAAAUAAUUUAUCAUUGUUUGUUCAUUAUGUUUUACAUUGUUUACUCUCAGUGUUUUAUACAAUAAAUCAUAAAUGUUUAUACCAUUUUGUAACAUUUUAAUGAAAAAUAAACAAUAAUAACCACAAAAUGUGUUUGUUUUGUCUUGAUAUUGUAUGUUAUUAUACUUAACCCCAGGUAUAUAUAUCAAUCACUGUCCUUUGGUUCAUCCGAUAUAUAGAAUUUGAUGUAACUAUCCGCCAAAAGCGAAAAUGUUACUUCUGUAGAUGCUGAAUCGUCAUAAGGAUGAAUGUCAAUCACUGUCCCUCGUUUUAGAUAAAUUUUAAUUUUU